CCUUCUCUUUUCCUGAUUGUAAAUUUCCAUGUAAUAAGAAUAGCAUUUGAAAGUCAAGUCAUUUAUCUUUGUUAUGUGUCUAAAAUUAGCAUCUAUUUUGUUUAUUUGCUGACUGCCAGAAAUAUGAUGAAUAAUAAUAUUGGAAGAAUUGGCAGGAAGCUGAGCAUGCAUAUGAAUCACUAAGUCAAAUUAUAGUAACAUUAAAAAAUUAACUGUAGGGUAAUGUAGGUUAUCUUUCUUAUUGGUAUAUCUGAAAACAAUUUUGUAGAUGUUUAAAACAAAGCAAUCAAGAGAGAAUCAUACGGGUAACAAGUUAAAGUGUUAGUAAUUGUAGAUAUGUCCACAAUAGCAUUAAAAUAUUUAAUAACCUGCCAUUAGUGAGUAAAACAUAAAAGUACAAAUCAAAACAUUACACCUACUUUCAAAUAUCACAGACUCAAGUCUCGAUUAUCUGUCACCAUGAAUAUUGUUGGGGCAUUCUAAAUGGUUCUGUUUUUACCCUCCUUCUCUAGACCUAUUACUCCAAAAAACACCUCUAAAAUAAGUAUAUUCUUGCACAGAACCUACCUUUUCAUUCUAAGGAAUAAACUCUAAAUCCCUGUAUUCUAUACAGUUUCUCUUUUCAAAUCUCAAAACUUCAUUCUUUUCUUAACAAACUAGGUUACUCUCUUCCCUAAUAUUUCCCACACGUUCUCAUCCCUACUUUUGACCAUAUUGAUGCCACUAUUUGAAAGUCCUUUCCCUCCAUCUAUAUAUAUUGAAGGUAAAGUCAAAUAUUAAGAACCAGUUCAAAAAGGAUGCAUGAAAUAUUCCCAACCACCCAACUCCAAAAGUAGUAGCUCAUGCUCCUGUAUUCACACUUCUCUAUUACAGUACUUCACUUAUGUUAAUAUUUUAUUUAUUUCUAUAAAAGCACAUUUGUACUGCUAAUAGUUCUCCAGUGUCUAAUAUUAUUUUUUUCAUUACUAGUAUUGUCUUUUAGUUUAAUUUAGUAAAUGGGUGCACAGAGUCACUUCCUUUCCCUUUUGUAGCUAUAGGUAGUUUUGUAACAACGUCCUUGCCAACUGUUUUAAGGAGAAGUCUUUCACUUAAAAAAUUAUGCUUGGUUCUCCUUUAAAUUUUUUCUCCUUCCCAUGAGACAGGACUUGGACUUAGCACUGGUCAACCAAGUUUGACGAUGCAGAUAAUAGCACUAGUUGAGGGAGAUGAGGCACAGAGGUGAGAGCCAUACGCCCUGGAUGAUCUAGUAGUUCAAAACUGCCAGCCUACACUGGCCUACCCACCUACCUCAUUGUUAUGAAAAACAUAUAUGAUUCUAUAGCCACCUAGACUAUAUAUCCUAACAUACUAAUGCACUAAUCUCUAACUUUCUGAGUGUAGAAAUAUCACAGAUACUUUUUUCUUUCUCCUAUACCUAGCACAAGGACUUGCAGACAUUAUGUGUUCAAAAUGUCUUUGUUACAUUGCAUUGCACUAAAAACUAAUUCUAUUUGUAGGAAAAAAAAUCCGUGUAAACUUUUGUUCAUUAGAUUGGCCUUAUCAGCAUUAGGUCAUCUUAUAGUCCUCUAUUAAGAUAAUUAGAUCAUUACUUUUACUAAAACAUUAAGAUAUUCAUUGUUUAUAAUACAAGUCAGUAUGUUUCAGAAUUAGAGUCUAUGUGGAAAGGAAAUGGUGGCUGAGAGGAUAAAAAGAGCAGAGAAGAAAGACUUCAUAAAGUAUCUGUGCUUCAUUUAUAGUAAUGCUAUGUGUAUAAGGGAACCUCUUAAAAAUGAUCCACAAAGCAAAUGGUAUUUCAAUAGUAAAUAUCACAAAGACCAAAGGAAAUUUAAAUCUAAUUCAGAAUUAUUCAAUAAAGGUCAGUGAGAAGUAGGUGGGGAAAAAAAGAACAUCAGAUGAUAGGAAUUUUCAAUAAUGUCCUCAUCAGAAAGGUCAAUCAAAAUUAUUUCCCUACUGUUUUCAAAGGAGGUAAAACUUUUCAAUUAAGAGUUGUUGAGUAGUAUUAAAGAGAGAAGACUUUGCCCUCAGCAAUUUUUUUAAGUGAAAAAACACAAAUCAUUUUAUCUUAAUUCAUCACUGUAUACAAGAACCAGGACUUAAAAAAAUAAUAAUAAUAACAAGGCUAAGAUUUUGCUAUAAGCCUCCAGGCAUAGGUAAUAUUUCUCUACUCACAUGGCUUCUGUCAUCUUGUAAGCAGAAAAGUAGGAGUCCUACUAAAGCCUGCCUCUGUGCAGUUUGAUUAUUAAACAUAAUUCUGAGUCACAGAGUUCUCACAGCUUCUGUAAAAGCUACAGGAAAAGAUGCAAUCCAAACAAAAUGUUCCAUAUAAAUUCAGGCAGACCAUGAACAUAAUGGACCUAUGUGAAUAAACCCUCGAAUCACAAAAUUUCACCAUGAACAUAGAGAGUUGAUGGCUUCACUGUUUCUAGUUGAAGGAUUCCACAAAGUAUCUGAUUUCUGGUAUAUUUAGGGAAUUGGCCUCAUGGUAUGUUAUAGGAGCCACAAAUGCCCCAUGGUGGGGGGAGGGGAGGGGAAGUCCCAUGCAUAAUAGAGAGUGUUUACAGGCUGAUAUGGCUAGAAUUUGGAUGGUUUGGACAUUUCCGAGUGACCUCAAAAGAGAGUUGCUGGGGAUCACUGUGUUAAUGAACAGAUAAAGUGCUCAUCCAGACACAGUGGAAUCAGAACGCAAGGAACUUUUAUGAGGAAAAUAUCUCAGUGGUGGACAGAAUGACAAUAGUAUAUAUUACAGCACAAUUACAUUUAGAAGGAAGUAGAACCAAUUUCCUCACAUUUGUGUAGAACAUAACAUGGAGCUUUAAAUGUGGCAGGAAACAAAUAAAAAUCUUAGCAUACACAAGAUCUUUAAGAUGAGCAGUUAGAGAAAUCACUCCUUGGCCACAUAACAAAAGCAGUGGUGUCAUUUGGAUAUCAGAAGUCUCAAUAAUAAAUUACCAUAGGGACCAGAUUAGGGAACAUGGAAUUUGCUAAAUUGCUAUGUUGGCUCAUUUGCAAUAUCCAAUGGGACCUUCUAAAUAUCACAUAAAGAUAUGUGGGAAAAGAGCACAAGGUCUUAAUUACAAGUAAUCUAUGAAAUUAAAAUGUGAGAUUAUUUUGCCAUUAAAAAUGCUAAAGCAAUCUUGUUAAACAUAUGAAGCGUGGACAUUCUAACACACUGUUGAAAUGAAUAUAAAUUUAUCUUAUAUAAAAUAAUUGACUACUUUUAUAAAAACCCAAAAAAUAUUCUUUCAGUAAUUCCAGCGAAGGGAAUUUAUUCUAAUGAAAUAUUCACAGAACAAAUGAAGAUUUACAAAUAUGUUUACAAAAAUAUUAAUAAAACAUUUCAAAGUAAAUAACCUAUAUAAGGAAAUUUGUUAAUAAGGAUGGCAUAGUUACAUAUGGAAUAUACACAACUAUUUUGAAUUAUAUUUGAUUUUGCCUGGUAUCUAUUAAUGUGGAAAAUACAUAAUAUUAAACAGGAAGAGUAAAUUACUUGAAACAAAGAGCAAUAAUGAUCUUACUUUCUGAGGAAAAAGAGAAUCAAGUUUCUUAAUUCUUACUUUGAGAAGAUCAGUGUUGUUGGAAUAUCUAACAUUGAUAUUUGAGUUCAGAGAAAAGACAUUGGCAGGUUAGUAUAACAAGGUUCUCUUGAGUUAAGAGAUCAUCAUCAUGGAAUGCAUUAGUACCUGGGCCUUGAUUGCCAUGGAAGAUAUCUGGGUUUUGCCAAAUCAAGUCUUGGGCCAGAAUUAAUCUCAAAUAAGGUAACUUAACGAUGUGGACAUGCACUUGGGAGAGGUGUGUGUGUGUGUGUGUAUGUGUGUGAUCAAAUGGUAUUUCACUGGGAAUCAAGAAUUAUGUUGGUAUAUAUUAUGGUAUAUGUAUUAUGGUUUAAAAUAACCCUGGAGAGAGAAAUUUUUUUCAUCCAAGAAACAAAUAUUGAAACUCUAGCAGCAAUGUCCAUUGUUACAUGAACACAUAAGGGAGAACACCAUAUAGAAAUUGCGUGUUUGCAGGAAUAAUAUUGCAUACUAGUAAAAGCAGCAAUGGAAGCAGAGAAUUGAUUCUGAUUGCUAGAAGAUCAUACCUUCAAGUUUUACCCAUUGGACCAAAUGAAGCCACUGACUUCUUGGACUCAUGUCAGACUGCUGCUCUACUUAAGAAGAGAGGAAGAAGAAUUUUCAAUACCAAAAAAUAGGGAGGAAAAGUCACAUAUGAUAUGUGCUGACUACAAUUCCUGUUUCCAUCUCCUCAUCUCUCAUUAACUCUAAGUGCCCUCCAGUCUACCAUCUAGCCCACCACAGCACCAGAUAACUCCAGGUCAGUCUAGCAGGAUUUUCCAUUCAAUGAAAACAUUUUAUUCUUCACAAUAUUUGAUAUAGUAUCCAAGACUGUCAAGAACUUAGCUGAUUAAAUAUUUGCUAGUCUUCUUUAUUUCUAAGGAAAUCUUUAAAUAAAAUAUAAAUAUAAACACAUAAAGUGAUGAGACCCCAAGAACAAAAAGCAGUCAUUAAAUGUUUUCAAUUAUUUGUGUCUUUAUACUCCAAAGUGACAGAAAACAACACAAUCCUCCUCAACACUAAAUGACAGUAAAUAAAUUUUAAAAGGAAAAAGCCUAGGUAAUGUUAAUUGGGAAAACAAUUCUUUAUUUAGAAUGGUGUAGCAUGCAUUUUCUCUAAGGAGAACUGCUAAUUUUUAAGGUUAUGCUUCCAAGUAGGAGUUGUAGUAAGAGAAAUAACAGGUCAUGACUUCUUGUCAUGUAAGGAGAAAAGCUAGAAAGGGAGUUUUGCUGGAUUUUAACAUGGACUGAAACCUAAGCCCAAUCUGAAGCCUGAAGGAAGGGAUAGAUGGAAGCACAAAAGAGGUCCUAUGAUUGAGGGAGGGACAGAGGUCACAGAACUGGAAGAUGAGGAGGAGAAAGUGCAGGUAAGAAUGGAUAUGAAACCAGGAGAGUCUGUGCUGUGAAGAAAGCCUCCCUGGUGUCAUAUACCAUCCUAAAGCUGAAGUUUGGGAGGUUUUUCCUGUGCUGUGCAAGUCAAAGUCCAAGUUAACGGGAACUUGAAUCUUAGUACUUUCUUGGUUUUAACUCCAUUUUGAGAUUUCCCAGAGCCUUCCAAACAGAACUUUUCAUUCUAGAAUACUAUUCUCACAAAGUCUAACUGAAACAGAAUAACAGAGGGAAUGGAGGCUUGAUGCACCCUACUCCCUUUCUGUCUCCACAGAAACAAGGACCAUCCAUCCCCAUGAGGAGACUUUUAUGAGGUGUCCCCAUGGCAAGAGGAGGCAGUGAAGACACCCACUGUUUUGGGACAGUUGGUCUCUACAAAUGCAGGACAGAAAGUAAAACCACACUUGAUAGUACUCUUUAAGUUAAUUUGGGGACAUCUUUUCAGAAGGAAGUAGGCAGAAGUACCUAGGAUACACGCAAUGAUAACCCCCUUCUUCAUGAAUGCCUUUAAGAAAAUUAUUUCUAGAUUUCUGCCACUUAUCCCAGUUUCCUCCCAUGAUUCGUAUUAACCAAAACUUUAAAUGUUCAAAUUUCUGUCUUGACCCAAACUUAUCAGUCACCAAACCCAAGUGAAUUCUAUCUCAAAAAUAUUUCUUCAGUACAAAACUUGUCUAGCUUCAUGGCAGCAGCUGGUCUAAGCCACUAAGAUUUCUUGCUUUGUUUCCUGCAAUAGCUUUCUAGUUAUGAACAUUCACUCUUGCUUCUUGCUUCCAGAUGAUUCUCCACAAAGCAUCCAGACAAUCCUUUCAAAAUGUAAGUUUUAUCUCUUGUUUUCUUGCAUAAAAUAUUUCAGUGGCCUUCCUUGCUUUUAAAUGAAAUCUCCUAAAUUCUUACCAUGGUAUAUAAAAUCAUGCCUAAACGUCUCAUCUAAGAAUGCUACACUUUCCUUUACUCCUAAGCCCUGAACCACAAUCACAGUACUGGAGUUUCUCCUACUUUCCAAGCUACUAGGGACCUCAUUUCUUCUCUUUUUAUAUCUCUGCCACAAAAGAACUUUCUUUUAGCCUUUAACAGUCACUUCCUUGUUUUCAUCUGGGAUGAUUUCUAUAUAUCUUUUAUAAGUUAUCUUAAGUAUCAGCUAUUUGUGGAUGCAUUCCUCUGAAUCCAAACUCAGACUAUGUUCCUCUGGUGUCUGUGUGUGUGUGCAUGUGGUAUGCACUCCCUGUAUCCUAGUUUUUCUUCAUACGUCUCUACUCUAAGUAUGUGUAUGAUUGUUAUUUAGGUCUAUCUCACCCUACUUGACCAAAACCUUAUUUUGGAAAGGGACUGGGUCCAUCUCAAUGUAAUUUUGUGCUUUCAAGAGCACAAAGCAGCCUUCUUUCAGUCCUUUUUCUUCCCUCCCUGACAGUUUUCUGGAUCUAAAGACAUACAUUUUUCUUUAUUUUAAUUUUUAUUCUGAGAAAGAGAGAGAGAGA